AUUGAACGCUGGCGGCAUGCUUUACACAUGCAAGUCGAACGGCAGCGCGGGCUUCGGCCUGGCGGCGAGUGGCGAACGGGUGAGUAAUGCAUCGGAACGUGCCCAGUAGUGGGGGAUAGCCCGGCGAAAGCCGGAUUAAUACCGCAUACGACCUGAGGGUGAAAGCGGGGGACCGAAAGGCCUCGCGCUAUUGGAGCGGCCGAUGUCGGAUUAGCUAGUUGGUGGGGUAAAGGCGUACCAAGGCGACGAUCCGUAGCUGGUCUGAGAGGACGACCAGCCACACUGGCACUGAGACACGGCCCAGACUCCUACGGGAGGCAGCAGUGGGGAAUUUUGGACAAUGGGGGCAACCCUGAUCCAGCCAUGCCGCGCGCGAGAAGAAGGCCUUCGGGUUGUAAACCGCUUUUGUUCGGGAAGAAAGCCUCUGGGCUAAUACCACGGGGGGAUGACGGUACCGGAAGAAUAAGCACCGGCUAACUACGUG
rnacentral:rRNA from 1 species